rnacentral:rRNA from 1 species
UACGGGGGGAGCAAGCGUUGUUCGGAUUUACUGGGCGUAAAGGGCGCGUAGGCGGCCUCUGCAAGUCGGCUGUGAAAUCUCCGGGCUUAACCCGGAAAGGUCAGCCGAUACUGCAGGGCUAGAGUGCAGAAGGGGCAACUGGAAUUCUCGGUGUAGCGGUGAAAUGCGUAGAUAUCGAGAGGAACACCUGCGGCGAAGGCGGGUUGCUGGGCUGACACUGACGCUGAGGCACGAAAGCUAGGGGAGCGAACGGG